CCUACGGGAGGCAGCAGUGGGGGAUAUUGCACAAUGGAGGAUACUCUGAUGCAGCGACGCCGCGUGAGGGAUGACGGUCUUCGGAUUGUAAACCUCUGUCUAUGGGGAAGAAAAUGACGGUACCCAAAGAGGAAGCCCUGGCUAACUACGUGCAGGCAGCCGCGGUAAUACGUAGGGAGCGAGGGUUGUCCGGAAUUACUGGGUGUAAAGGGAGCGUAGGGGGGUGAGAAAGUUGAAUGUUAAGUCUACCGGUUUAACUGGUAGCUGCGUUCAAAACUUGUUGUCUUGAGUGAAGUAGAGGCAGGCGGAAUUCCUGGUGUAGCGGUGAAAUGCGUAGAUAUUAGGAGGAACACCAGUGGCGAAGGCGGCCUGCUGGGCUGUAACUGACGCUGAGGCUCGAAAGCGUGGGGAGCAAACAGGAUUAGAUACCCCGGUAGUC
rnacentral:rRNA from 1 species